GCCUGAGUAGUAUAGUGGUAGAAUAAGGGAUUGUGGCUCCCUUGAUGCGGGUUCGAUUCCCGCCUCGGGCCCCA
rnacentral:tRNA from 1 species